UACGAAGGGUGCAAGCGUUACUCGGAAUUACUGGGCGUAAAGGGCGCGUAGGCGGUUCGUACAGUCAGACGUGAAAUUCCUGGGCUCAACCUGGGGGCUGCGUUUGAUACGUGCGGACUUGAGUGCGGAAGAGGGUCGUGGAAUUCCCAGUGUAGAGGUGAAAUUCGUAGAUAUUGGGAAGAACACCGGUGGCGAAGGCGGCGACCUGGUCCGAUACUGACGCUGAGGCGCGAAAGCGUGGGGAGCAAACAGG
rnacentral:rRNA from 1 species